GGAAUCCUUAGAGAUCCCCAGUCCUGGCCUGUCUGGAUCAGAACAUCCAAGGAUGAAGUCCAGGAAUCUGCAUUUUCAA
rnacentral:miRNA from 1 species